GACGAACGCUGGCGGCGUGCUUAACACAUGCAAGUCGAACGGAAAGGCCCUGCUUUUGUGGGGUGCUCGAGCGGCGAACGGGUGAGUAACACGUGAGUAACCUGCCCUUGACUUUGGGAUAACUUCAGGAAACUGGGGCUAAUACCGGAUAGGAGCUCCUGCUGCAUGGUGGGGGUUGGAAAGUUUCGGCGGUUGGGGAUGGACUCGCGGCUUAUCAGCUUGUUGGUGGGGUAGUGGCUUACCAAGGCUUUGACGGGUAGCCGGCCUGAGAGGGUGACCGGCCACAUUGGGACUGAGAUACGGCCCAGACUCCUACGGGAGGCAGCAGUGGGGGAUAUUGCACAAUGGGCGGAAGCCUGAUGCAGCAACGCCGCGUGCGGGAUGACGGCCUUCGGGUUGUAAACCGCUUUCGCCUGUGACGAAGCGUGAGUGACGGUAAUGGGUAAAGAAGCACCGGCUAACUACGUG
rnacentral:rRNA from 1 species